rnacentral:rRNA from 1 species
UACGAAGGGGCUAGCGUUGCUCGGAAUCACUGGGCGUAAAGCGCACGUAGGCGGAUUGUUAAGUCAGGGGUGAAAUCCUGGAGCUCAACUCCAGAACUGCCUUUGAUACUGGCGAUCGUUGAGUCCGGGAGAGGUGAGUGGAACUGCGAGUGUAGAGGUGAAAUUCGUAGAUAUUCGCAAGAACACCAGUGGCGAAGGCGGACUCACUGGCCCGGUACUGGACGCUGACGGUGCGAAAGC